rnacentral:rRNA from 1 species
CAAGGUUUCCGUAGGUGAACCUGCGGAAGGAUCAUUAUUGAAAUAAAUCUGAUGAGUUGUUGCUGGUUCUCCAGGGAGCAUGUGCACACUUGUCAUCUUUAUAUCUCCACCUGUGCACCUUUUGUAGACCUGGAUCUCUCUCUGAAUGCUAGCCAUUCAGGAUUGAGGAUUGACUUCAUGUCUCUCCUUCCAUUUCCAGGCCUAUGUUUCUUCAUAUACCCCAAUGUAUGUCAUAGAAUGUAAUCAAUGGCCUUUGUGCCUAUAAACCUAUACAACUUUCAGCAACGGAUCUCUUGGCUCUCGCAUCGAUGAAGAACGCAGCGAAAUGCGAUAAGUAAUGUGAAUUGCAGAAUUCAGUGAAUCAUCGAAUCUUUGAACGCACCUUGCGCUCCUUGGUAUUCCGAGGAGCAUGCCUGUUUGAGUGUCAUUAAUAUAUCAACCUCUUCAGCUUUUGCUUGUUGAGUGUUGGAUGUGGGGGUCUUUUUUGCUGGUCUUCUCAGGUCAGCUCCCCUGAAAUGCAUUAGCGGAACAAUUUGUGGACCGUUCAUUGGUGUGAUAACUAUCUACGCUCUUGACGUCAAGCAGUUCAGCUUCUAACAGUCCAUUGACUUGGACAAAUUUUCAUUAAUGUGACCUCAAAUCAGGUAGGACUACCCGCUGAACUUAAGC